rnacentral:rRNA from 1 species
UACGGAGGUGGCAAGCGUUGUUCGGAAUUACUGGGCGUAAAGGGCGCGUAGGCGGCUUAGCAAGUCAGAUGUGAAAGCCCCGGGCUCAACUCGGGAACAGCAUCUGAAACUGCAUAGCUUGAGUCCUGGAGGGGAUAGUGGAAUUCCCAGUGUAGCGGUGAAAUGCGUAGAUAUUGGGAGGAACACCUGCGGCGAAGGCGGUUAUCUGGACAGUGACUGACGCUGAGGCGCGAAAGCUAGGGUAG